UCGAAGUACGGUGAUUAAAGGCGGCAUUAGCUCUGCUCUGAAUAAAACACGUAUUUGAUAAUAAAUGUUCUUGUUAUACAGAUUUGCGAGUUUUACUACAUGACUUUGCAUGUGUCAGUUUUUGAAUCAAAGUCGGAUCUAAACAAGAAGUUCUUUCUGAAAUUCGUUAGAAAAGCAUACUGCUAAGCUUCGAAGGGUCGGAUGUUGCAUGAUUUCAGAGGUGACUGUAUUCACCCUUAAAGAUGAUUUUUUCUUUUUUAAGGAAAGAGUUAAUAUUCCAAGAAAGAUAAGCCAAUCAAACCGAACUCGAGAGAAAAAUGAAGAACAUUAAACCUACAGAGUUAUUAGGUUAUUUUGAAGCAGGAGACAUGAGAAAUGAGUAAUGACUUGGCCAUGAGUGGAACCUGGACCUCUCGAAUACGCGCCCAGUGAGCUACCGUUACACCACGGAGCCAUGUUGGAAGCAAGGAGAAAAUAAGGCUGUUUAUUAAUUAACACGGUUAUCUAAUAAUUUUGCCUAAAAUACCACUUUUACUUUUGCUCCCACCAGGAUGAAAACUAGAUAAGUGCAGAGUUCUGGAGUUUAGGAGAGAGCCUUUGGUAGCUUUCGCUGACCGGUUACUCUGUUACACAUCACUACUACUGAAUUGCGUUUUGGCUUGAGCUUCACUAGCCACAUUUGCUUGACUAUUUAGUCAAAGUUUGUUUAGGUGUUACUUGUUACUUUAAAUAUAAAGUAAGUAAAUAAUAAUUAGCAAAUAAUAGACUAAAAUACCAUAAAGCUUAAAUGAAAAUGAGGAAAUUUAUGAAAAAUUAAAAUGAUGCAGUUAAAUGAAAUAAUUAAAUAAAUGAACGGUAAUUGAUUUUAUUAUGACAAAGCAUAAUACAGUGGAAAAAUUUUAGGCCUGGUGUUCCUUUCUCUUUUUCUCUCUCUUUUUUAAUUGCCGGAUACUUCUCACGUGUUAUGAACAGACAAACUAAUCAGUCAUUUAGCGUCUUAUCACCAAGAACGUUGCAUCGUGUACACUGCUACAGGUGUCUGACAUUACGCUCGCGAAAACCGAAAGAACACAUAAAUAUUCAAGCUUUUCAUGGGAUUCAAACACUUAUCCUACGAUUAAGAUUAGCAGUCGGAUUCCGCUAACCACUACACAGUCCAAGGGAACAAACAAUAAAGCAAAAAUUAAUAUUUUAUUAGAAUUUAUUGCACAGAGAUACAGUAGACGUUGUGUUUGGUCAUUUAGCGUCAAACAAAAAUCUUUUUUUCUUUAUUAUUAUUUUGGCUUCUAAUCCCUUUAAAGACAUUUUGACGGAAUGAAUACAAUCCAUAAAAAUCCCUCUUUCCCAUGGGUUUCCAAUUUGAGAAUGAGGAUUUUGGUCCUCAGCUGGUGAAGUUUUCCUACACAUUUCCUUUUCCCAAGGAAAUUGAAUCGUUCUUUCUGUAUAUAGUAUCCGUAUCAGUUUUACUGACUGCUUAACCAGAGGUGACAUGAAUAGUGUUGCGUGCGUACGGGUUCGUAAUAAACUGAAUGCACAAGUCCGAUGAAAAGUGAAUAAAAUUUGUUAUUAUCACAACAAAUAAAAAAUACUUAAAUUUUCUCAGAUAUUCCCACAAUAUUGAAAUAUAUCACAGUAGUUAUCUUUUAUACUACUAAAACGUUCAACAGAACUUAAUUCAAAACAGAGAAAGCUAAUCCGAUUUCACCGCGGAUUCGCUACAGUCAUUAACAGCAAUAUGUAAACAAUUGAAUUGAGAUGUUUUGAUCCCGCUUUUAUAAGCUUUUUAAAUGUGCACGAGAAUAUUCUGGUAUUUUCCCGAUUCCCGAAAAGCAAAAGUGUACAAUUACGAGAUAUCUAUUUAUUAAAUGUGCGAGCUUCUCUAUUUUUAAUUUUUUUGGCGUAGCUUUCUCUUCAAAUAAGUCUCGUGCUGAAUUGCACGAGUAAAACAAUUUUAAUUAAUUCUAUUUAAAAAUAGCUAAAUCAAUACAAAAACCGUAACAAUAUUUUCUGUGAAUAUUGCAAUUCCAUUCUAUAGAGGAGUAUUGUCUUAUUUAAAGCUCUAGCACACCCUGGCUAGAACUACGAUUUCAGUCAAAACAUUUAGGAUAAUCGAAAUCGGACAUCAGUUACAUUCAAGCAUUGAUCAGAGUGAAAUGUUUCAUGUCUUAAGACAGUUGCUAAUGACACACUAAAAUUAUUAAAUUCAAAUCUUCCAACUAACCAUGGCAAAAGAACAUUUCUUUAACAACGUAAAUUAUUAAUUAACUUGUUUUGUUGCAUUAGGGAAUUCCCGUAUGUCUCGGGUUUUUACCUUAUACCAGCGGACUGCGGCCAAGAAAAAUUUAUAAGUUUCUACGUUCAUCUGAAAAGAAAGUGCAUGAAACAUUUCAAUAUGGAAUGAAAUGAGUUCAUUCUUUCCAAGCAACAGCCAGUUCGUAAACAAUUUUUUGGUUGCCAAAACCAGGAAACGAAAUUUUCGACACUUCAGGUUAAUACGUAUACGUAUGACAUCAUGUGUUAAAUUUAAUGUAAUAUAAAGCAUUUUCUCAAUAUCAAUAAAAGAAUUAAUGGGACAAUAACAUACCGUACAUAACCAAUUUUCCUGACUUGAAACAAAACAAGUUGCCAGCAUCAGCCAUUUAUUUAAAAUGCUGACAUUAACGAAAAAGUUUCGAAAUGCAAUGACGUCACAUGCAAUCGCCUGCUUUCUUCUACUUCAGAAUAUGACAUUAUAUAAUAAUAACAUAUUUAGUGUUUGGCAAUGCUAUUUUUAUUUCAUAUUUUAUAAAAUUUACAAUUUUUUUAACAAAGUCAACGAUUUGAAAGCGAGCAGUGGCAACACUUUUCGAAAUAAAACAUUUUUAUCUCCAGCGACUCCCGAGAAUGUUGCCGCUCGGAAAAGUGAGUGCCACUAUUAGUGUUUCAGAGUUUUUAAUUAAUAUCUCGGUUGAUUAAAAUCGUACGAAGAUGACAAUGGUCGAAAUGACUUUCCCUGCAUUUUUGGAAUCCGGGCGUAACACUGUCGAACUCCCCGCCUUUCCGGAGGAGAUGAUACCACAAACAAACAAAUAAACUAACAGAUUUUAAUACUGCAGAUGUUACUACUGUAAUGUUGCUACGUUGGCAAAACUAAAUAUCAUGUGAAAAAUGUAAAACUCGCGCAUAAAAUGUGCUCGCUUGAAGAUCCUCGCGCUGGAAAUGUUUUCCAUGCGUUAGAAUAUUUUUUAGAUUUUGGUAAAUUGAAAAAUAAAAUGCCUGGAUGUUCGACCGAAAUGAAGAAAUUCUUUUAAAAGCGCAUACUACCCUGAAUAUGCUCAUUACGUUUCGUCGUUUUAAAGUCAUUUUUAUUAUUCAGAGAAUGACCAGAAUAACAUCGAUUGAAUGAGUCCUUUAAAUACCUUUCACUGCAUUUUCAGUCAGGCUUCAAAUUUCUCCAAAAAAAAAAAAAAAAAAUGCUUCGUUAUCAAACGAAACUUUUAAAGAAGACCAGAGGAAUAAACAUCUUUAAAAUAAGCCAGCUUUAAAUAAAUAACUUUGAACUCAUAUGUACAGCACAGUGUAAACUUAAAAACAAAACAUUUGUCUCUGUAUAAUAAUAAAUGCAUAAUAAUAAUGCCUAGAAACUUCGGCUUUCACGUUGCGAAAGGACUUGAGAAAUGGUUUUUCCCUUUUGUAAAACACAUUGUAUCGUUAAUGAUGCUAGUAUUUGGACAGCAUGCAGAGACAGAAAAUUGACAUGAUAGCGCAAGAUUCGUUUUCUACGAAAUUUACGAUUGUAAAAAAUAAUAAUUAAUCAAUGCUUCAAGUUGUAUACAUAAAUUAAUUAAUAAGAUUUUUACUGUAAGACUGAGUUAAAAAAAUAAUAAUUCUUUUUUCACAGUUUCAAAUUGGCCUCCGCUGCAUGCAUCUCAUGCUCUAAGAUGACACCCCUGUUAAAUACUACUUUCUGUAUCUUAAUCUGCUGCAUUUACAUUAUUUUAGGUUUUUAUUCUUUUGUUCUUUUGUUCAGUCUGCUUCACGCCUUGCAUCUAGAGGAAAAGGUUUCUUCAUGUACGUUCUUAGGUAUGUACAACAUCUAAACACAAAUGAACGAGCUUAUAAUUAAAUAUAUGUUAAAUGGGUAUUAACAGUUUUAACAAAAUGGUAAAAAAGCAAGGGCGGAAGUUAUGAAUUCUUCUACAGAAAACCAACAAUUUUAAGUGUUUCAGUUCUUUUAAUUCAUGUUGCUUAAAAGUAUAUAUAAUUUUGCAUUCAAAUGAAAUUAUUAUUUAUUGAAAUAAGUAUUUAGUUUCGAUAUUUUUUAACAUAAAAUCUACUGUUAUGUUUGAGAAAAGUUUGUUUGAAAAAUAAAUAUUUUUUUAAACAAGUCCUUUGAAUUUGAGCAAAAAAUUCUUUAAAUUUUAGGAAACGAAGUAUUGGUAAUUGUCCAAGUGGCGCGAACGUUAAGAUAUAGGGACGGAAUCUUUGUCGAGAUUCGAAAACUCGAAUGUUCACACUUUUUCACAUUUGGAAUAUUUCGAAUGCUAAUUUAAAAAACUGUUAAAUGUUUCAAAUAAAAUCUUGAAUUUGUUUUCCCUGGAUAUUAAAGCGUUUAAUAAGAAAACGAUGACUGAUCACUUGUAAGGUGUAUUUUAAGCUUUUAACAGUUAAUUUUGAGUUAAAGCCACUUUCCCAUCCAUCUUAAUUUCAGCUUACAAUUUCCUGCCAGACAUGUUUUCAGAAUCGCGGUUAAAUGUAAAUGAAGGAAGAGCAAAUAUUUAAAGUGGAAUUUCGACUGACUUCGUUAGAUAGCCAGAGAUUCUGACCAGCGCGAGUUCGCCUUUUGGCUGUAUUCUCUCUAAAGCUAUUAGACUUUAGGCCCCUGAUAGCUUCGGUUAGUUAGCAUUAAGGAGCCAACUCCUGUAAAAUUAUGAUAGCUUCGGCUAUAUCUCUUUAGUUUAGUUAAGUUUUAUUUCUUAGCAUUCUUGAGUUUAAAGCCCAAGUAGAGGCUUUGCUGUACGUCCUGAAAGAGGACCGACUGUGAACUUUAUUUGAGCAAUAAAAGGUAAUUAACUUUUCGUGAGUUUACGUUUCUAUCUUUCUGAACUAAGCGAUUAUUCGCUUACCAUUUCUUAAAGUUCUACACAUUAACUGUAAAUUCUAGGUUGGUACAUUACACACUAAAACGAGAAUGCCACAAAGAACUGCUGUGGAAGCUUGGGACAGCUUUCAAGUAAUCUGCGCGUUCUGUUUCUUAGAAACUUUUCGAUAUUAAAUCUCAAAUAUUUCACUCUGGACAAGAUAUAUACUACA